UAGGCUCGUGUGCCGGGGCAGUGGCGAUCUCGCGGACGGAUAGUAGAAAAAAAGGUGAGUCUUUUUGCUGGAAAAAAGAGAAGGUGAGGUUGUAUCUCGUUAGUUGGGUUUCCACUGUUGAUGAAAAUCAUACCUGGCCGAUCUGACGGGGCUGCCUGCAACUUCAGAAUUCGAGCGGAUUGCUGCAUAAUAGUCUUGUUGUAGCCUGGCCGAUCUGUGAAUAUUUGAUUGUAGGUGAAGGAGGGGCGGCCGCCCACUUGACGGUGCUGAUCAGGGCGGCGAGGGAGCCCGGCAGGGGGGCGUCGAUGUAGUGCUGGGCGGUGACGAUCCGAUGUAGGGAUCAAGGUCGCCGUGCAGGGAGGCAUCAAUGCAGUGCAGGGCUGGCGAUGAAAGGCAGGGAGAGGGGCGAGGGACACGAUUAGGUUGAGUUUCCUUUUUUGCGAGUUGGUUAGAUGGUUAGAUUACCGUGAUUUGAGGGGCUGAAGAGGUGGGACGGGGAGUUUCAUAUUUUCAUCUGGUGGAGUACGGUCAGUCUAUGUAAACUGCUAAGCGCACACCAGAUCUCGAAUAAAUCAAUGAUGGUUGUUAGAUGGGGCUGUGCGGGCUUGAUCCUGUGGUGGUGAUAUGGGCGACGAGGCUGUGGACAUUUUGUGGGGUGCACGUAAGAAAGUUUUUGUUUGAUUGUUUAAUAGUAGUGGAGAUAGAAUGGAUGAGCAUUACAAAGUGCAGAUGUUUUGCAAAAUAGAUGAGUCAAAAACUUAGUUUUAGUUUUCCAUAGAAAGCAUUUCGGAGCUACCGAUUUAAACUUGGUGACACCUAAGCUACUUUUGUAGUAUAAACUAGUGGAAUCGAUCAGACCGAGGCACAGUUCGGUGAGUCCGAGAUUGCUAGGGUUUCACUGAGAGUUGAAUUCGGUCACACCGAUUUGCAAGUUUUGGUCAGACUGAAAAGUGCAAGUGUAAUGGCCAAAGCCAAAUUGGUGAGACCGAUUUCCACAACUCGGUCGGUCCGAGAUGAGUUCGACAGAAACCUAACUCUGAAUUUUCGAAUCAAAUCUAGUCUAAAGAAGGUUUUUGCUGGACAAGAUGAUCUCAUACGUGGUAAGAAACAUGGCACUUGCUUUGUGCUAAGAAUCGGAGGAAAGAAUUGCACACAGAUUCGAACUCAUACCCUAGUUCGGUGAUGAGCUUGCUACAACGACAACGGCGGCGUAGAAUUCUGUUGACGGCAACAGAAACUAGCGGCGGGAGGUCAUUGGCGACGAGAGGACGAUCCGGAGACCCGAGACGACAGAGAAGGACACGCGUGGGCGAAAGGGUUUUGGAGGAAUUUCCAAAAUUUGACCCGUCGGUAUAUAUAUCGUGACCUUGUCGGUGUGACCGAGUGGAACAACUCGGUGGCACCGAGAUGCAGAAUUGCAAGUUGUUACUGCAACUCGGUGUGACUAAAUGGUUUUAAUCGAUUGCAUCCAGAUUAAAACUAGAUCAAGGCAAUGAACUCAGUUUGACCAAAAAGAAUGAAUCGGUCAGACCGAAAUGCACACGGAGAUUUUGGAAGUUUAAGUCUAUGAUGAAUCGAUGACUCUGAGUGCUCCUCACACAGAGGGUUCGAAUCUGACUUGAUCAAACUUUGUGAUAUAGCAUGAAUAUAGUUUGAGACGAGAAAAUCAUAGAUAACUAUAGGAAGUUCUUAGGCAUUCUUGUUCAUCCAUUUGGCAAAAGAAAAAGAUCCAAAAAUCAAAGCAACAAAUGGAUGUCCUUAAAUGAGUAAAAUAUGCAAUCAACAUGCUCACACAAUAAAAUGUCAAAUAAAAUAUGUGAGAAAGCAUCCACAAACACUCUAGAAUCUAUCAAACAAUUGGCGAUGACUAGGUCAUCUAUAUAUGAGUAUAUUGACUUAGGAGUCAAAUGAGAACAUUUGAUCAUAGGUCAUAUUCAUCGUUUGAGCAUAAGUGGGGUUACCACUUUUACAUAAAGUAUUAUUGUGUUCACAUCAUUAGAGUUGCUUUAGCUCAAUAUUUAGAGUAAAUCUCCUUCUAGAUGUGAUGUCCCCCCUUAAAAGGGAUAAACUAACCUUGGGUUUUGUCGAUGAUGACUUCAUGUAGAUGUUGAAGAUGUGGAUGCUCAAUGUUGAUGUAGAUCAUUUGGAGCAAUCCAUUGGAGUAAGUUGCACUUUCAAUACCUACACGGGUUAGUUCCACAAGGAACAAGCAAGGAUAUCCAUAGACAUAGAGUGAAGUGCACACAAGAUGAUGUCCAUGAAAGCAUUAGGUUACCUUGUCCCUUGACUUACCAACAAGAGGGUUUGUGAGUCCUUGAACUAGUGCAAGAUGUGAAAGUUGUUUGCACUUGUCCACGCCAAAGUGAUAUGAGUGACGUAUGUUGGCGGAGUCACCCUCAAGAACUUUCUAGUUCUUCUUCUUCAGGAUCCACAUCAACUUGAUGGGAAUCCUUGGAGUUGUAGUCAUACUUGAUGAGGUGGAACUUGAUGUAGUCUUGGAAACCCACUUGACCAAGGCCUUGUGAGCUUCUUCAAAUGCAUCAAUCUCCUCUUGAAUCUUGUUCUUGCUUUUUUGCUUGUGGUUUUGUGUUGGAAGAUCAUCUUGAGCUUGUGUCCCCUUGAAAGAAGUAGGAUCAUACUUCUCUUGUUGAGGAACAAACUUCGUCUUGGGGUAUUAAUCUUCUUCCCAUUCAACUCCAUUAGCAUUGAACUUUCGUUCAAAAUCAACACCUUGUUUCUUCUGGUGCCUUCCUUGCUUGCUUACAAUUUCCUCAAAUUGCUUACUUCCAGCAAGGCUCUUGUAAACACCUUUCUUAUAAUUCCCUUCAAUAAGCUAUUUUCUUGCUCAAGUAUAACUUGGCUAAGAGAAUCAUUAGUGAAAUCAAGAGAACUACUAGAAGCAACAAUAGUGGAUUUAACAUGAUUAUUGUUACUACUAGAAGGAAAAUCUUUCUUGCUCUGGUUGCUAGAUUUUACUUGUGGCAUGGAAGUAGACAAGAGUAAACAACGCUUGGCAAUGUAACAAGAACUUUUCUUAUGAAGAUCAUCAUUGAUUGCCUUUAAGAACCCAUGCUCGUGCUCAAGGUUGAGCUUUUCAAAGCAUAGCUUCUCAUGAAUCUUUAAAAGCUCUCGAUGAUCUUCCAAGAUAGUUUCAUGAGCUAACUCAAGAGUGUUUAGUUCUUUAGUUAGACGCUUAAUCUCCUUCUUAUCAUCGUCAUUCGUUUUAUCUUGAUUAGCAUGAUUAAUAGCAAGUUCAUCAUAGUUUUCAUCACUAGAGUUGUCAACAAGUAAAUCAUCAUCACCUAGCAAAUCAUCUUCAUCACUAUUGACAUCAACAUACUCGGGGUGUGAUACCUUUGGGCCUUUAGCCAUGAAGCAUCUUCCAAUUCCUUCAUUUGGUGAGUCAAAUAUGUCAUAGGAGUUGGUCGACACAAGUGCUAGACCGGCAACACCUUCAUCUUGAGUAUAUUCGGACUCGGAGUGAUAACUUCUCUCAGGGUGAUGGUCGGUGUCAGAGUCGGAUACCCAUUCACCAAGGUGAGCUUGGUGUCUUCGUUUUUUGUAGCUCCUUGAUAACUUGUCCUUCCUUUCCAAGUCCUUACUUCUGCAAGAGGUUCUUCGUUCAUAACGAUCAUCUCUACCCCUUCUCUCUCUUGGAGAUGAUUCUUCUCUUCUACUUCUCCUUUUAGGUGAGUCUUGUUUUCUUUUGUAGGGAGCCAUACAUUCAUUGGAGUAGUGUCCGGGUCUUCCACAAUUAUGGCAAUUACGCCCACGACUAGAAUAUCUUUUGUCAUUAUAGGACCUUGACUUGGAACUCCUUUCCUUGCUUUUACUUUUGUAGAACUUGUUGAAAUUCUUCACCAUUAGGCUCAAUUCUUCAUUGAAGGCUUAUUUCUCACUUGACAAUGUAGGAACAUCACAUGAGGCUUUGUAAGCACCACUAGACUUGUUGUGCAGCUCUUCUUUAUCACAAUUCUUCCAAUGACUUCCGUUGGCUUGAGAUCUUUGUAGUAGGGCAUCAUUUGGAUCAAUGUGCACAUGGUAUCAUAUUUUCCAUCCAAGGCUCUUAGGAUAUUUUUGAUGAUGAAUCUGUUAGUCAUCUCUUCACUUCCUAAGUCGGCAAUCUCAUUUGUGAUGAGAGCAAGCCUAGAGUACAUUUCAGCGACACCUUCAACAUCCUUCAUUUUGAACUUGUCAAGCUGACUUUGAAGCAUGUCCAAUUUGGAUUCCUUGACGGAGUCGGUACCAUCGUGCAUAUCAAUCAAAGUAUCGCAAAUUUCCUUAGCAUUCUCAAGACGGCUGAGUUUGUUGAAUUCUUCGAGGCACAAUCCGUUGAAGAGGAUAUCAUAAGCAUGAGCAUUGUAUUGUAGCAUCUUCAACUCUUCCGCGGUAGCUUCACGAUUCAGUUCUCUCCCAUCAAAGAAUUCACCUUAUAAGCCAAUACACACAAUAGCCCAAACGGCGGGGUUAUGUCCAAGAAUAUGCAUUUCUAUCUUAUCCUUCCGAUUAGCAAAAUUAGUACCAUCAAAGUAAGGACCUCUACGGUGGUAAUUUCCCUCACUAGACGCCAUACUCUCCUAGGUUGUGAAACCAACGCUAUGAUCACCAAAGCUAUGAAAAUCAAGGCAAAAUGGAGACAAAAUCUCUAAUACCACUUGUAGGAUCAAAAAUAUGUCUAGAGGGGGGUGAUUAGACUACUUGACCAAAUAAAAAUCUGGCCUUUUCUCAAUUUUACGUCUUGGCAGAUUUUAGCAACUUAGCACAAGUCAAGCAAUCAAACUACACAUGCAAAUCUAAGAGUAUACCAGCGAAAUGUAAAUCAUUGCAUAUGAAGGUAAAGGGAGGAGUUUAGAGGGAUCAAAUGCAAUGUAGACACGGAGAUUUUUGGCGUGGUUCCGAUUGGUGGUGCUAUCGUACAUCCACGUUGAUGGAGACUUCAACCCAUGAAGGGUAACAGUUGUGCGAGUCCACAGAGGGCUCCACCCAUGAAGGGUCCACGAAGAAGCAGCCUUGUCUAUCCCACCAUGGCCAUCGCCCACGAAGGACUUGACUCACUCGGGUAGAUCUUCACGAAGUAGGCGAUCUCCUUACCCUUACAAACUCCUUGGUUAAACUCCACAAUCUUGACGGAGGCUCCCAAGUAACACCUAACCAAUCUAGGAUACAUCACUCUCCAAAAGGUAAUAGAUGGUGUGUUGAUGAUGAACUCCUUGCUCUUGUGCCUCAAAUGAUAGUCUCCCCAACACUCAACUCUCUCUCACAGAUUUGGAUUUGGUGGAAAGAUGAUUUGAGUGGAAAGCAACUUGGGGAAGGCUACAGAUCAAGAUUCUUGUGAUUGGAUUGGAAUAUAUUGGUCUCAAUACAUGAGUAGGUGGUUCUCUCUCAGAACGUGAAUGCUAGAAGUGUAGGCACGUUUUGAUGGCUCUUUCCAUGAAUGGAGGAUGGGUGGAGGGGUAUAUAUAGCCUCCACACAAAAUCUAAUCGUUACACACAAUUUACCAAACUCGGUGGGACUGAAUAGUUAAACUCAGUCAGACCUAUUUAGUUCAAAAUGUGAACGCUAGGAUUUUUGGUGGGACCGACAUGUCAACUCGGUGGGACCGAUUUCAUUAGGGUUAGGGCAUAACAUAAUCUCGGUGAGACCAAUCACAUAAACUCGGUGAGACCAAUUUCUGUAAUAGGCAAACAGAGAGUUGGUCAGGCAAACUCGGUGGGACCGAUCACUCAUUUCGGUGAGACCGAAAUGUAACGAAAAGGAAACAGAGAGUUUGCAUCGCUCAUUUCGGUUGGACCGAAACGUUACGAGGGGAAACAGAGAGUUUGCAAUCCCAUCUCGGCGAGACCGGGAUCCCUAUCAGUGAGACCGAACAUAUUAGGGUUUUUGGCUAUGGCUAUGUCAAAUGACCUCGGUGACGCCGGAUAGAUCAAAUCGGUGGGGACGAGUUUGACUUUUGGUUUGAGACAUAUGUGGAUAUGAGAAAGUGGUCGAGGGCUUUGGAGCAUAUCACUAAGAAUUUUGAGCAAGCAAGCCAUUAAGCAACACCUCAUCUCCUUUUAAUAGUAUUGGCUUUUCCUAUGGACCCAAUGUGAUCUUGGAUCACUCAAAUGAAAAUAUAGAGUCUUUAGCUUGAGCCAAUAUGUGUCCUUAGCAUUUUUAGGGGUCCACAUUUCUAGUCCAUGCCAUGUCAAUCAUUGAACUUUCUGAAAUAAUCAUCUUGAAAGAGCAUUAGUUCAAUGAGCUAUAUGUUGUUAGGAAUUACCAAAACCACCCAGGGAUAGUUGCACUUUCACGCGCGUCGGUUGUCUUUCUUCAGGAUUUUUGCAUGAGAAGACUGGGCACGGUGUCUGUGCUCGGGUCCAUCCCUACAGCGUCGGUAAACCCAACGACUGAGCUCUGUCUGGCGGGUCGGUCCCGUUCACAUCACCUCAUGGGGUCGUUGGUGUUUGGCCUUUGUGAUGCCCCGAGACCGGUGCGCCUGGUGUCUCCCAGAUAUUCUCUGUCGUUGCCAUGUCAUUCUGCUUGCGUGUUGCAUUUUGCCAUGUCAUCAUGUGCAUUGCAUCCUCAUGUUUUCCAAAACUUGCAUCCGUCCUGGUCUCCCUUUUCCUUCCGUUGUCCGUUUCGAGCCCAGACACACUCGCAUGCGCCCGCGGCACGUCCGAAAUAUUAUUUUAUAAGUGGCGGGAAAAUGUUCUCGGAAUGGGAUGAAAGUUGGCGUGCGGUGUUGUUAUGUUGUCAGUAGGCCGCCUGCCAAGUUUCAUCGCAUUCGGAGCCCGUUUGAUAGCCCAACCAUUAAACAUAUACCGACACUAGCCGGUCCAUCGUCAGACAUUUUCGGUCUCCGAAAACUUCUGUCGGGUCUCUCUCUCUUUUCUCUUCCACGACCCAAGGCAUCUCCACACAGCCACAAUCAGCCAACCUGCAGCCCGCUAAAACCCUCCUCUGACCGGAACCGUUCGAUUGCGAUGGGACGGUCCAAAAACGACCUCAAACCCACCAAAACCUAACCCCUUCCUUAUAUAAACACCCCACAUGCCAAUUUUGGCCUCCUCCAACCCCCACCUCAUUUUCCGCGCCCCAAUCAUCUGCCGCUGGCGCCCUCUUUGUGUUCCGCGCCGGCCACCUCCUCAGCGCCAGUUAGCGAGUCGCCAGUGGGCGCGUCGCCUCCAGCCGACCCCCUCCAGCCAAUCAGAGAAAGCCACGCGCCCCCUACCUCCUAGCGCCACCGUGGCCCGCCCAGGCCUCGGGAAAGCCCGUGGAGCCCAUCGGGGCCCGCCCCCAAGCCCGCGCGUCGCCGCCUUCUAUCCAGAUUAGGAGAGCCUCGAUCUCUCCUCCCGCUCACCCCCGACGUCCGCCGCAGGCGACCAAGGCCGUCGGAGCUCGCCCGCCACGACCUCGUCGGAGCCGACGCCGGCGACCCCAUCUUGUCUCGCCGCCAGGUCGGGCCCCCAUCCCUCUCCUCUCCCGUUCUCUCUCUUUUCUCUCUUUCUCUCCCUAACCUCUCUGCUCUCCUUCUUGGUCAGCGCCGCGCCAGGGCUCCCUCGACGUCGCCCCACGACGAGCCGCCGCCGGAUCCGGCCAUCUCCGGUCCAUCCCCGCCGGAUCAGCGUCGUCACCGCUGUUCCAAGCCCCGCCCUCGCGGGAGCCACCUAGCGCCGCCGCCCCUUGCCUACUGUUCAUGAGCCAGGCACUAGGAGGGCGACGAGCGCGUUGACUGCGCGUGGUCUGCGCAGGGCCUCGGCCUCGCCCGCCAGCCCAACCGGACCAGUCGGCCUACCUCCUCCACAGAUCUGGGCUUUUGGCGCAUGGUGAGCCACCCACACCCUAGCGCCCAAGUGCUUUGUACGCCCAGUUUUGGCCCGUGCCUAUUUUUUAACUGUUCGGUGAAUUUCCUAAAUAACCAGUGCAUGUAUAUUAUAGUUUUGCCAUCGCUUUAAAAUGCUCAUACCUAGAGAACCGUGCAUCGGAUUUAAACAUGUUAUAUAUGUAAACUACUUAGAUUCCUAUCUAGUUUCAUAAUCCGCAUAAUUCAUCCAUGUUAAAAAUGUUAAAAAUGUUGUUUGAUAAAAUUUGUAUAUUGCCAUGUUAAAAUGAUUUAAUUCAUAACUAAUUAACCGUAGCUCGGAUUUAAAUAAACUUUAUAUGCAAAUGGGGUAGAAAAAUGCCUAGUUUGACAUGGUGCACUCAUCUUGCAUGUUUAACAACUCUAAAAUAUGGUUUAGGGCAGAACAAUACCAAAUUCAUAAUAUGCAUAUGGGGAUUUUUUGGAAUUGUUGUUUGUUAUUUCCGGCCUCAUUUAAACUUGCCUAAAUAGUUAGUUUACUUAUGUCUCACCUCUUGCCAUGUUAACCAACAUUUAAUACUGUUGGGUACAUAAACAAGAGCAAACUAAAUAACUUGAAUGUGGGGUUUCGUCAAUAUGCAACUUGUCACAUAUUGAGCUCCACUUAACUUGUAGUGUUGUUUGUGCACUUGCCAUGCCAUGCAUAUUUUAACCGGACAUGCAUCAUCCUUGGUUGUGCAUCAUGCCAUGUUUAUGUUUGUGUGUUUACCAUGUUGCUUGCUUCUUGCUGGUUUGCUUCUCUCGUUAGCUUCGGUUUCGUUCCGGAGUUGUGAGGAUUCGUUCGACUACGUCCGUUUUUCUUCUUCAUGGACUCGUUCUUCUUCCUUGCAGGAUCUCAGGCAAGAUGACCAUUAUCCUCGAUAUCACUUCUAUCUUUGCUUGCUAGUUGUUCGUUCUAUCGCGAUAUCGCGCUACCUACCACUUGUUUAUCAUGCCUCCCAUGUUGCCAUGUCAAGCCUCUAACCCACCUUCCUAGCAAAUCGUUGUUUGGCUAUGUUACCGAUUUUGCUCAGCCCCUCUUAUAGCGUUGCUAGUUGCAGGUGCCUUGUAGGUUGUUCCAUGUUGGAACAUAGAUAUGUUGGGAUAUCAUAUCUCUUAUUUAAUUAAUGCAUCUAUAUACUUGGCAAAGGGUGGAAGGCUUGGCCUUUUGCUCGGUGUUUUGUUCCACUCUUGCCGCCCUAGUUUCCGUCAUACUGUUGUUAUGUUCCUUGAUUUUGUGUUCCUUACACAGUUGGGGUUAUGUGACCCCCCUUGACAAUUCGCUUUGAAUAAAACUUCUCCAGCAAGGCCCAACCUUGGUUUUAACAUUUGCCUAACAACCUAAACUUUUCCCUUGGGAGUUAUAAACCCAAGGGUCAUAUUUAUUUAACCCCCCCCCCCCAGGCCAGUGCUCCUCUGAGUGUUGGUCCGAACUGGGCGAUGUCCGGUGCCCCCUGGGCAACCAGGGUCUCAGCUAACCUGACGUCUUGCCCAUCCGGUGUGCCCUGAGAACGAGAUACGUGUGACUCCUAUCGGGAUGAUUCGGCACAUCAGGCAGUCUUGCCGGUAUUGUUUUACCAUUGUCGAAAUGUCUUGUAACCGGGAUUCCAAGACUGAUCGGGUCUUUCCGGGGGACAUAAUAUCCUUUGUUGAUCGUGAGAGCUUGUGAUGGUCUAAGUUGGGACCCCCUGCAGGGUAUAAACUUUUGAGAGUCGUGCCCACGGUUAUGUGGCAGAUGAGAAUUUGUUUAUAUCUGGUUGUAGAGAACUUGACACUAAACUUAAUUAAAAUGAAUCAACCGUGUGUGUAGCCAUGAUGGUCUCUCUUCGGCGGAGUCCGGGAAGUGAACACGGUUUGAGUUAUGUUUGAACGUAAGUAGUUUCAGGAUCACUUCUUGAUCACUUCUAGCUUCACAACCAUUGCGUAGCUUCUCAUCUCACUCUUAUAUGCGUAUGUUAGCCACCAUUCUUUGCUUAGCGCUUGUUGUAACUCCACUUCAUUACCUUAUCCUACCCAUAAGCUUAAAUAGUGUUGAUCUCGCGGGUUUUGAGUUUGCUGAGUCCUCGUGACAAACAGAUACAACCAAAAUAGUUGCAAGUGCCGAUCAUACCAGUAAAGGUGCCGCAACCGAGCUCAAGUGGGAGUUCGACGAGGACCUUGGUCGUUACUAUGUUUCAUUUCCUGAUGAUCAGUAGUGGAGUCCAGUUGGGACGAUCGGGGAUCUAGCAUUUGAGGUUAUCUUCUUUCCAUUUGGUUUUGACCGUAGUCGGUCUAUGUGUGUAUUUUGGAUGAUGUAUGAAUUAUUUAACUAUUGUGUGAAGUGGCAAUUGUAAGCCAACCCUCUUUAUCACUUUCUUGUUCAUUACAUGGGACUAUGUGAAAUGACCCUUCUUGCGAUAAAACCACAAUGUGGUUAUGCCUCUAAGUCGUGCCUCGACACAUGGGAGAUAUAGCCGCAUCGUGGGUGUUACAAGUUGGUAUCAUAGCCAUCUCCGACUUAGGAGCCCCCUGCUUGAUCGAAUCGCUGAUGUUGUUGAGUCUAGAACAAAAAUGUUUUGAGUCUUAGGACUAUAUAUAUCGGAGAGUAGGAUUAUUUUUACUCCUUAGUCCCUUCUUCUCUCUGGUGAGGCCUCCUGACGUAAAUGUUUUGACUUUCCUCUCCUCAAAUUUCACGAAAAAAAUUAGGACCACGCGGGUAUAUUGGAAUCAUUCCGAUAUUCUUGUGAUGAGAACAUUGUUCUUGGUGCCUCCUGACAUUUAGGGGUUGUGGCAGUGUCCCAGAGAGUUGAGCUCUGAGGUGUUGUCGUCACAAUUUUAUUAUUGCAGUUCUGGAAUACCUGAGUUCGCCGACAUCGAAAAUCUGUUUUAUGCAGUUGUUGGUGAGAUAACCUCGACGCCACCCAGUACUGGGUCAGGAAUUCGAGAAUAUAGCCAUAACUCGUAUAAAGGAUGCUUUUCGAAGGUUUAGGUACAUGAUUUCCAGAGUUUUCUUGGUUAUGUGUUGACGGAUGGAUACAGUUGGAGCAUAGGGCUUGUUAGUUGUGUGAUAUAUAUUGUGCCACUCUGUAUCCCCAACACCAGAUUGCAUAACCAGAAAGUUUCGGGAGUUAAUAGGUGGGAUUCAAGUAGCUCCUAGAAUAUCUUUCUGACAGAUGCAUGAUAUGGGAUUGGGUAAAUCUCUAUCAUAUGUAUUUGUUUCGGCUUAUUCUGCAAGCCAAAUCUUUGAUUUGUUUUGAGUUGUGGUAUUCGAGUUGCUUCAAUGUCAAGUGUUGAUUCCAUAUCUUUCCUAAGCGGUGUUGUCAUAUCCCUAUGUGAAUACUAAUCCUUCUUAUUUAUCGAGAUUGUCAUCCCAAUUCUAUUUCCAACCGGUGCGCUUCUCUUCGAGAGGAUCCCAUCAUUCUCCCCACCCGCAAGAUCAAUUCUAAGUUUUCUCAAAGGUGUUUCUUCCAUCAGUCCCAAGUUGCCUUUGUUUCUUUCCCGCCCUCCCACCCUUUUCUUCAAGGACUCAUAUAUAUCUUAAUCAUGUAUCCUUUUAUUCAGGUGAAGCCCCUUCAUUCUUUUCAAUCAAUGAUCUUAUCUAGUGAUUCUCUAGAAGAUGCUUAGGAGCUAUAAGUUUAUCAUUCUUCGUUCUCUUUUCUUCUCCGGUGGAUUCAAUUCAAGCUUUUGGUGUUGAUCAUAUCCCUUUCCUCGUUUCAAAUGCUUUCUCGUGUUGGAAGUUCUUAUCCAAGCAUCUCUGGACCAUUAACAUUACGAUUCUUGUAUCCGGAGUGCUGAAGAUAUCUCAGAAGAUUCACGUUUCCAUUCUCAAUCCGUUCAAGUUAUUUCGAGGUUGUUAUCUCAUUCGACCAUUUAGUUCAACUGGUGCAAUCUCUCUUUAUAUCAUUCAAUGGUGUAUCUUUGAGUGGGCCCUAACCCACAGGUCUUUUCCCAGGAUCUUACCCGACUCUUCUAAUUUUGUCGGAGUUAUUCCCUAAUUUUUUUCGAAGUUUGACGUAAGAAUGAAUUAUCAUCAGCCAGAUGCCUUCUCCAGGAUCGCUUUCAAAUUCUUUUCAUCGCUGAUUCAACCUUUAUAUUCUUCAUUAUCCUGGAGUGUCUCGGCAAUUAAUGGUGGUGUUUCUCAUCGUCAUUCUCAACAUUUGAAGACCAAAGAAGAGUUCCUCUUAAAUCCUUGCCCGUUCUUCCAAAGAUUCAUGGUUCUAGCUUUAUGCCAUCCUCAUAAUUGCUCUAAUCAUCAAGGAUUCUUUUCAAACCCAUCCGGGGCAUUUUAGGAGUUAUUCGCUUCUUGAUCAUCCAAAGGCCAUCAUUUCAGAAGAUUUAUGCAUUCUCAGCAUUCAGCUUGCAUUCCCUAAUUCUACCAGCGCAUCAUCGAACUAUCCUCUAAUCAGUUCAUGAUCUCUUAGUUCUAUUGUAUCUAAUUUCCCUCAAGUAUCAACGUUGUUUUCUAAUUUGUAAUACCCACGAUGCGGCUAUAUCUCCCACGUGUCGGAGCACAACUUAGAGGCAUAGCCACAUAGUAGGCAUGUCGCAAGAGGGGUAAUCUUUACACAUCCCAUGUACUGAAUAAGAAAGGGAUAAAGAGUUGGCUUACAAUCGCCACUUCACACCAUACAUAAACAUAGCAUUACAUCAUCCAGAUACAAUCAAGGUCCGACUACGGAACCAAAUAAAGAAAGACAACCCCUAAUGCAAUAGAUCCCCGAUCGCCCCGACUGGGCUCCACUACUGAUCAACUAGAAACGAAACAACACAACGAACACGAUCUUCAUCGAGCUCCCACUUGAGCUCGGUUGUGUCACCUGCAUGGUAUCAUCAACACCUGCAACUGUUUGAAGUAAUCUGUGAGUCACGAGGACUCAACAAUCUCACACCCGCGAGAUCAAGACUAUUUAAGCUUAUGGGUAGGAAAGGGUAGUGAGGUGGAGCUGCAGCAAGCACUAGCAUAUAUGGUGGCUAACUUACGCAAACGAGAGCGAGAAGAGAAGCAAAACACGGUCGUGAACUAGAAGUGAUCAAGAAGUGAUCCUGAAACUACUUACGUUCAAGCAUAACACAAGAACCGUGUUCACUUCCCGGACUCCGCCGAGAAGAGAUCAUCACGGCUACACACGCGAUUGAUGCAUUUUAAUUAAGUUAAGUGUCAGGUUUUCUACAAUCGGACAUUAACAAAUUCACAUCUGCCCAUAACCGCGGGCACGGCUUUCGAAAUUUCAAAGCCCUGCAGGGGUGUCCCAACUUAGCCCAUCACAAGCUCUCACGGUCAACGAAGGAUAUUCCUUCUAGCGGGAAGACCCGAUCAGUCUCGGAAUCCCGAUUACAAGACAUUUCGACAAUGGUAAAACAAGACCAGCAAAGCCACCCGAUGUGCCGACAAAUCCCGAUAGGAGUUGCACGUAUCUUAUUCUCAGGGCAACACAGGAUGAGACUAGCUACGAGUAAAACCAACCCUCAAGUUUCCCCGAGGUGGCCCCGUAGGCAGCUUGGUUCAGACCAACACUCAGAGGAGCACUGGCUUGGGGGGUUUAAAAUAACAUGACCCUUGAGUCUGCAGAACCCAAGGCAAGGUAUAUGGUGGUAGGUAGGCAAAUGGUAAAACCAAGGUCGGUCCUUGCUGGAGGAGUUUUAUUCAAAGCGAACUGUCAAGGGGUUCCCAUAACACCCAACCGCGUAAGGAACGCAAAAUCAAGGAACAUAACACCGGUAUAACGGAAACUAGGGCGACAAGAGUGGAACAAAACACUAGGCAUAAGGCCGAGCCUCCCACCCUUUACCAAGUAUAUAGAUGCAUUAAUUAAAUAAGAGAUAUUGUGAUAUCCCAACAAAUAUCCAUGUUCCAACAUGGAACAAACUCCAUCUUCACCUGCAACUAACAACGCUAUAAGAGGGGCUGAGCAAAGAGGUAACAUAGCCAAACAACGGUUUGCUAGGACAAGGUGGGUUAGAGUCUUGACAUGGCAAUAUGGGAGGCAUGAAAAAGCAAGUGGUAGGUAUCGCGGCAUAGGCAUAGCAAUAGAGCGAGCAACUAGCAAGCAAAGAUAGAAGUGAUUUCGAGGGUAUGGUCAUCUUGCCUGAGAUCCCGCAAGGAAGAAGAACGAGUCCAAGAAGAAGACAAACAGACGAAGUCAAACGGAUCCUCAUAAAUGCGACGUUAUCGGAACUAACCUGAAGAAGCAACACUGGAAAGAAGCAAACAACAUAGUAAACAACCAUCACAUAAACAUGGCAUGAUGCACAACCAAGUAUGAUGCAUGUCUGGUUUAAAAAGGCAUGGCAUGGCAAAGUGCAACAAACAACACUACAAAUUAAGUGGAGCUCAAUAUGCAAUGAGUUGCAUAUUGAUGGAACACCACAUCAAUUAUUUAGUUCACUCUCAUUUAGGUACCCAACAAUAUUAAAUGUUGUUAAACAUGGCAAGAGAGUGAAACAUAACAAAACUAUACCAUCUAACAAUUUAAAUGGGGCCGGAUAUAACAAACAGCAAAUUCGGUAAAACCCCAUAUGCAUUUAGCAAUUCAAAGCAACAACAAUUUAAACAUUCUUGAUGUUGUUAUCAUGAUGCGGAUGACAUUUGCAAGUUUUAUGCAAGUUUUAUGAAAAUAUUGAUAAGAGCAUUAUGAAGCAUUUGUCACCGUGGUGGAAAAAAAGGGUGCCACGACGACGAAUCCGAAAAUGAUGCCACGACAACAUAUCGGUUCCGGUAGCUCACGGAGAUACCGGUGCAAAGGAAGGGUGGCGGGAGCAUGCAAAAGAUGGUGGGGUGAUCCCGGUUACCGGGUUCCCACGGGUGGACGGCAUGGCAACGAGGAGGACCGAGCAAGUGACAACUCGGACACGGUGCAAACAUAGGGUGCAUCUCAUACAACACAUCACAUGCAUACGGUCCACGGACGGCCGUCUCGGGGUUAUACCUUUGAAGCGUGCGAACGGGACAGUUCUCGCGACGGCAGUAGUGGAAGUAGUCAUUUUCGCAUGCUCUAGGGUCGACAAUAGAGGUUCUCGCGAUCUCGGUGACGGUAGUGGUACAUGUUUAUCGUUGCCCGAGUUUCCGUAGAUGUUCAUGUCAUCGGUGUCGUGGUACUUGGGGUCUUCGGACUUUCCGGUCCCGUUCUUGCGACGGUAGUCGUUCACGUUCGUUCGGAGCGGUACUUGAUGACUCCAAUUCCUUUGGGCGAAAAGCACGUCGACGGUAGUCAUUCUAGGUAGGAAACGGUAGCUGAACACAGUUCGUAGAUGUUCAUGUCGCCGUAGUGGUACUUGGUGAAUCCCAAAACAGUCUUGGCGUCUUCGCGCGUAGCGGUACUUGGCGUUUUCCUGUGGUACUUCUCAAGCAAGAAGCGAAGUCAUGGUACUUGGGUCGUCGUGGAACUUGGCGCAUCAUCAUGGUACUUGGCAAAAUUCUCGGAGAAAAGCUUGACAGUCCGGGGACGCUCAGGUCGGUAGAUGUUCUUGGUCUUGCGGUUCGGAGGCCGGUACAAAGAGCUGCGGUUCAUGGCACUGGUCAUAGUGGGCGAGCAGAGGCGCGUCCUCCUCUCUGCUCGAACGAGGCAGAGGCGGAGCAGCGGCUUGACGAACUUGAGGCCAUGGCUGCGGGCUGAGGAACAAGGUCCGGCGAGGGUGGCGACGCUGCUGGUGGAGGACGGCGUGGGCGUAGAAGGCAGGGGCACGAGGAGACGAAUCAGAGGACGGGGAGGCCGGAGGAGCUUCUGCAGUGUUGGAGAAAGGCAUGACGAUGGAGGCAGGUUCGGCAGCCAUGCGGCGACGCGCGUGGAGGGCUCGAGUCCAUGGCGCGGCAGAGAGGCGGGGAAGCGACGGGGCCGCAGCGCCAUGGGGACAAAGGUGGAGGCUCCAGCUCGGGGAGGAGGUCGAGGCCGACAUGAACGGGAGCGCAGCUUCAAUGGCCGGCCGGCGAGGCCAUGUCCUUGGUGCAGAGGAUCCACACGGGAGGAAGGAGAAGGAGUGGAGGACGACGGGGUUUGGAGGAGGAUGAGCGAGGGGCGCUCCUCUCCCUGGCAAUGCGAUCAAGAGGAGGACGAGGGAGGCUGGCGGCGCCGUGGGAGGCAGAGAACGAGAGGAGGAGGUCGGGCACUAGGGUUAGUUGUAGGUGGGCUGUGGGAAGCCUUAGGGAGGUUGGGCCGGCGCUUGUGGGUUAGGCCCAAGAGGUGGGAGUGGGGCGCUGGGAAAGCUGGCAGGAUGCAACUGGGCUGGGAGGCCGGCGCUGCUAGGAGGCCCAAGUGGCCAGAGGCGGCUGGGCUCCCUUCUCCCUCCCUCUUCUCUUAAAACUUAUUUUCUUUAACAGAAAAGAAAUUAGAGAGAGGAAAAGAAAGAGAAGGUUAGGGAAGGAUUUUGCGCAUGGGGAUAAUAUUUCUGGACUCACAAAAAUGUGAGGAAUUUAAAUAAAAUGAAAAGAGGAUUUUUGGAUAAAAAAGGAUUCGCACAUGUUGAAUUUAAUUCAACAUGUUUGAAUUUUUGAAACCCAUUCGAAAGGACUCUAAAAUGGGCUGAGCUUUUUCAGAGGAGCCUCGAUAAAAGAGAUGAGAGAUAUUGGCAAGGUCUGAAGGCCAAACUCGAAGAGGAAUAGACAUGGGAAUUAUUUUGCACGUGUGUUAUGAUGAUUCCAAAUUAAUGGAAUAUUUAUAAUAGCUCCCUAAAAUAUUGGGAGGAUAUGUUAUAUAGAGAAAUCACCAUGUGAGUUCCCUCGAUUUAAAUGGACCGAAGAUCCAUGCAAUUUAUUUAGUUGAGUUGCAAAAGAUUUAUGAGAAGAUGGCAUGAUGACAUGAUGCAAAGCAAAAAUAAAAGGGCAGGCACAAAUGAAACACACGGGGAAACCCGGAACAUAUGGAAGUCUUCUCGAGCAUCAGUCUCGGGGCGUCACAUAAUUCCUCCUGGUGAUUCGUCCAUUUGCUGCGUUCGUUUCAAUUUAUUACGGUGGUUCGUUAAAGAUUCAUUUUACUUUGUUAUCGUAUCAAUUCAUUUGUUGUUUCAAUCCUACCGGCUGUUCAUUGAAGACCUUCUCAAGUUUGCGCUAUAUAUCUCUUCAAUCUUUUAAAGAAGAAUAAGUAGUAUGCCAAAUCUGUUGCUUGUCAUCAAUUUAAAUUGGUGAAGGAUACACAUAACGUAAUUCUUAUUACUGUUUCAUCCAAGUGAUCUAAUUUCUUCUUUCCAGAGUUGUUUACCAUGUCACAUUCUUGGUUCGAGAUGCUUCAUCUUUUAUUUUCGGAGUCACAACUCUCUCAAUUAUCUCGUCGCGAAGCUCCAUCUAAAUCAUUGCAAGGCUUCACCUUGUUCUUUCAACUUCUCUUUCUUUCUAUCAUACUUUUGUUAUCGGAGUUCUUUAUGUAGGCUCUACAUGGUGGUUCGUCAAGGAUUCCUUUCAUUCUUCUAUUGUUAUUCAAUAUUCCCUCUCGAAGUUAAGUUCCGCCAAGCUAUACUCUAAAAUUAACAUGGUGCUCAACACAUGUUUUGUUUUGAGGUUCUUCAUCUUGCAUUCCAAAGUGCAGUUCUUUCUAUCUCAUCUUUUGAGGUGGUGUUAUGUCAUUCUUGAUAAUUUCCCUUCGUGUUUCAUGAUUCAACAGCUGUCAAGAAUGAGAUAGUUAAACCCAACAAUUUCUUCGAGCAUGAGCUAUUCUUAAUCCAUCAAUCUCUUUGUUGGAGUUAUCUUGGGUUAUAUUUCACCUAAAGCUUUCCCUAAGGAUUGUUGCUAUUUAUGGUGCUUAUAAAUGACCCAAGUUCUUCAUUUAUCCUCCCGGUGAAAUAAGUUUCCCGUCCCCUUGUUGAUAUCAAUCCAAUCUAUUGUUUCCGUUAGUGGCAGAAUUUGACCUCAUAAUUUUGAGAUGUUUUACAUAAGCCCACAACAACCUUAUUCUUUUGUUGUUUAAUUUUCAACAACUCCAUUCAAAUCCUUCUUUCUAAGGAUGCUUUCAAUUUCAUUUGCGGUAGGAUUUGUCAUUUGUUCACCGUUCUUUUCUCAAUCCAGCUUCUAUUCUUUCAUUCCAGAGGCAUGAUGAUGUUGCUCUCUUUAACCCAUCAUCUCAUUUUGUAAAGAUCAUGUUUUUUCCUUUCCUUAUCCAUUCAACCGGAGUGUCGUGCCCUCCAUUCAAGUUCUCUCAUCUUAUCAUGUUUUGCUUCCCUUCUCAACCGGAGUGCUGUCUGAAAUCUUUCCUACCCCUUGUGCCAUUCUUUCAAUAGUUCCAGAGGCACUGUGUUGUUGAUUUCAUCAAGUAUCCUCUCAUCUUGUCAAGUUCAUGUUCAAUUCUUUCCAUUUACAAUCGGAGUGCUGUCCAAAUUAUAUCAUUCUUAUUCCUUCUCUAUCUUGUUUUAACCGGAGUGUUGUGUCUAUCAUUCCUCUUCUAUCCGGAGUCUCAUCCAAGUGCUUUCAUUUUGCCAAGUUCAUAUUCUAUGCCUUCCUAUUUCCAACCAGAGUGUUGUCGUAAUUGAUCUUUAUUGUUCCUUGUACAUCUCGUUUCAACCGGAGUGCUUGCAUGUACUUCUUGUCCGUUGUACUCGUCAUUCAUAGCUUUGCAAACUCCAAGGCUCACAUGGUGUUCCUUGUUUCUCUUUUCUACCGGUGUGCUUUCAUAUUCUUUUGGACCGUUAAGCUCUUGUUUCAUGUCCUUCAACCUACAAGGUUCUCGCAAUGUUCCUUGUUCCUCUUUUAUAACUGAGUGUUUUCAACUUCUUGCAUCUUUGUUGGAUUCCUUCUUUCAAUUUGUUUAACCUCUCAAGGUUCGUUGGUUUCACUCUUUUGUCAAAGAAGAAACUUUGUUUUACCUCUUGCUCUUCCGCUUCUCUCCGGUGCCAUUCUUAGAUCUCGGGACGAGAUCUCUUGUAAGUGGAGGAGUGUUGUGACGCCCCGAGACCUAUGCGCCAGAUGUCUCCCAGUUAUUCGCCGUCGUUGCCAUGUCAUUCUGCUUGCGUGUUGCAUUUUGCCAUGUCAUCAUGUGCACUGCAUCCUCAUAUUUUCCAAAACUUGCAUCCGUCCCGGUCUCCCUUUUCCUUCUGUUGUCCUUUCUGAGCCCAGACACACUCGCAUGCGCCCGCGGCACGUCUGAAAUAUUAUUUUAUAAGUGGCAGGAAAAUGUUCUCGGAAUGGGAUGGAAGUUGGCGUGUAGUGUUAUUAUGUUGUCAGUAGGCCGCCUACCAAGUUUCAUCGCAUUCGGAGCCCGUUUGAUAGCCUAACCGUUAAACAUAUAGUGGCACUAUAACUGGUCCAUCGCCGGACGUUUUUGGUCUCCGAAAACUGCUGUCGGGCCUCUCUCUCUUUUCUCUUCCACGGCCCAUGGCCUCUCCACACAACCACAAUCAGCCCAACCGCAGCUCGCUAAAAACCCCCUCUGACCGGAACCGUUCGAUUGCGAUCGGAGGGUCCAAAAACGGCCUCAAACCCACCAAACCCUAACCCCUUCCUUAUAUAACACCCCCACAUGCCAAUUUUGGCCUCCUCCAACCCCCUACCUUGUUUUCUAUGCCCCAAUCAUCAGCCGCCGGUGACCUCUUCGUGUUCCGUGCCGGCCACCUCCUUAGCGGCACUUGGCGAGUCGCUAGUGGGCGCGCCGCCUCCAGCCGACCCCCUCCAGCCAAUCGGAGAAGGCCAUCCGCCCCCUGCCUCCCCGCGCCGCCGUGGCCCACCCAGGCCCGGGGCAAGCCUGCAGAGCCCAGCGGGGCUUGCCCCCGAGCAUGUGCACUGCUGCCUCCGAUCCAGAUUGGGAGAGCCCCGAUCUCUCCUCCCGCGCAUCCCCGACAUCCGUCGCCGGCGACCAAGGCCGCCGGAGCUCACCCGCCAUGACCUCGUCGAAGCUGACACCGGCGACGCCAUCUCGUCUCGCCACUAGGUCGGGGCCCCGUCCCUCUCCUCUCCCUUUCUGUCCCUUCUCUCUUUCUCUCCCUAACCUCUCUACUCUCCUCCUUGGUCAGCGCCGCGCCAGGGCUCCCUCGUCGUCGCCCCACGACGAGCCGUCGAUGGAUCCGGCCAUCUCCGGUCCAUCCCCACCGGAUCCGCGUCGUCAUCGCUGUUCCAAGCCCCGCCCUCGUCGGAGCCUCCUAGCGCCACCGCCCCUUGCCUCCUGUUCGUGAGCCAGGCAUGAGGAGGGCGACAAGCGUGUUGAUCGCGCGUGGUCUUCGCAUGCGCCUCGGCCUCGCCCGCCAGCCCAACCGGACCAGUCGUCCUACCUCCUCCAUCAAUCUGGGCUUUUGGCCCAUGGUGAGCCACCCACACCCUAGCGCCCAAGUGAUCUGUACGCCCAGUUUCGGCCUGUGCCGGCUUUUUACUGUCCGACGAAUUUCCUAAAUAACCAGUGCAUGUAUAUUACAGUUAUGCCAUCGCUUUAAAGUGCUCAUACCUAAACAAUGGUGCAUCGGAUUUAAACAUGUCAUAUAUGUAAACUACUUAGAUUCCUGUCUAGUUUCAUAAUGUGCAUCAUGCAUCCACGUUAAAAAUGUUAAAAAUGUUGUUUGAUUAAAUUUGCAUAUUGCCAUGUUAAAAUGAUUUAAUUCAUAACUAAUAACCGUAGCUCGGAUUUAAAUAAACUUUAUAUGCAAAUGGGGUAGAAAACUUCCUAGUUUGACAUGGUGCACUAAUCUUGCAUGUUUAACAAUUCUAAAAUAUGGUUUAGGGUAGAACAGUACCAAAUUCAUAAUAUGCAUAUGGGGAUUUUCCAGAAUUGUUGUUUGUUAUUUCCGGCCUCAUUUAAACUUGCCUAAAUAGUUGUUUACUUAUGCCUCACCUCUUGCCAUGUUAACCAACAUUUAAUAUUGUUGGGUACAUAAAUGAGGGCAAACUAAAUAACUUGAAUGUGGUGUUUGGUCAAUAUGCAACUUGUCACAUAUUGAGCUCCACUUAACUUGUAGUGCUGUUUGUGCACUUGCCAUGCCAUGCAUAUUUAAACCGGACAUGCAUCAUCCUUGGUUGUGCAUCAUGCCAUGUUUAUGCUUGUGUGUUUACCAUGUUGCUUGCUUCUUUCCAGUUUGCUUCUCUUGUUAGCUUCGGUUUCGUUUCGGAGUUGUCAGGAUUCGUUCGACUACAUCCGUUUCUCUUCUUCAUGGACUCGUUCUUCUUACUUGCGGGAUCUCAGGCAAGAUGACCAUUACCCUCGAUAUCACUUCUAUCUUUGCUUGCUAGUUGUUCGUUCCAUCGCUAUGUCGCGCUACCUACCACUUGUUUAUCAUGCCUCCCAUGUUGCCAUGUCAAGCCUCUAACCCACCUUCCUAGCAAACCGUUGUUUGGCUAUGUUACCGCUUUUGCUCAGCCCCUCUUAUAGCGUUGCUAGUUGCAGGUGCCUUGCAGGUUGUUCCAUGUUGGAACAUGGAUAUGUUGGGAUAUCAUAUCUCUUAUUUAAUUAAUGCAUCUAUAUACUUGGCAAAGGGUGGAAGGCUUGGCCUUUUGCUCGGUGUUUUGUUCCACUCUUGCCACCCUAGUUUCUGUCAUAGUGGUGUUAUGUUCCUUGAUUUUGCGUUCCUUACGCGGUUGGGGUUAUGGGACCCCCUUGACUGUUCCCUUUUAAUAAAACUCCUCUAGCAAGGCCCAACCUUGGUUUUAACAUUUGCCUAACAACCUAAACUUUUCCCUUGGGAGUUAUGAACCCGAGGGUCAUCUUUAUUUAACCCCCUCGGGCCAGUGCUCCUCUGAGUGUUGGUCCGAACUGGGCGAUGUCCGGCGCCCCCUGGGCAACCAGGGUCUCAGCUAACCCGACAUCUUGCCCAUCCGAUGUGCCCUGAGAACGAGAUACGUGCGACUCCUAUCGGGAUUUGUUGGGACAUCGGGCAGUCUUGCUGGUCUUGUUUUACUAUUGUCGAAAUGUCUUGUAACCGGGAUUCUGAGACUGAUCGGGUCUUUCCGGGAGAAGGAAUACCCCUCGUUGACCGUGAGAGCUUGUGAUGGGCUAAGUUGGGACACCCCUGCAGGGUAUAAACUUUCGAGAGCCGUGCCCACGGUUAUGUGGCAGAUGGGAAUUUGUUUAUAUCCGGUGUAGAGAACUUGACACUAAACUUAAUUAAAAUGAAUCAACCGCGUUUGUAGCUGUGAUGGUCUCUCUUCGGCGGAGUCCGGGAAGUGAACACAGUUUGAGUUAUGUUUGAACGUAAGUAGUUUCAGGAUCACUUCUUGAUCACUUCUAGCUUCACAACCGUUGUGUAGCUUCUCAUCUUAGUCUUAUAUACGUAUGUCAGCCACCAUUUUUUCUUAGCACUUGCUGCAACUCCACUUCAUUACCUUAUCCUACCCAUAAGCUUAAAUAGUCUUGAUAUUGCGGGUUUUGAGAUUGCUGAGUCCUCAUGACUCACAGAUACUACCAAAACAGUUGCAGGUGCCGAUGAUACCAGUGCAGGUGACGCAAUCGAGCUCAAGUGGGAGUUUGACGAGGACCUUGGUCGUUACUAUGUUUUGUUUCCUGAUGAUCAGUAGUGGAGUCCAGUUGGGACGAUCGAGGAUCUAGCAUUUGGGGUUAUCUUCUUUUCAUUUGGUUUUGACUGUAGUCGGUCUACAUGUGUAUUUUGGAUGAUGUAGAAUUACUUAAGUAUUGUGUGAAGUGGCGAUUGUAAGCCAACCCUCUUUAUCUCUUUCUUGUUCAUUACAUGGGAUUGUGCGAAGAUGACCCUUCUUGCGACAAAACCACAAUGCGGUUAUGCCUCUAAGUCGUGCCUCGACACGUGGUAGAUAUAGCCGCAUCGUGAG
rnacentral:lncRNA from 1 species